GAAGAUCUUUCGGCCAUUUGGAUCAAUCUGGGAGUAAAUGAUUCCUGUUGAUUACGCAGCACAAUCAGCUACUUAUCACCACAUGGACUUGAUUUAAACGGAUCUGAGUGGAAGAAUUUACAGGUGAAGUUUGGUCGAUUGGACUUGAUUUACAUGAACAGCGUGGGGGUGGUCACAGCUUUUGUCAGAUGCUUAAAAACUGGUUAGUCGAUCCUUCUUGUCCAGCCACUCGACUCAAAAACUCGAGGGUAGAUCGACUCAACUGUGCAUUGAAGAUCAAAGAGAGCAGAAAACCCGUAGUUUAGAGAGUUCGGGAGAAAAUCAAACACCAGUUUUAGUGUCUUCAUGACCAGUGUUCAACCGAAACAUGCAAUGACAGCAAUUGGCAGUGAACUUUGCUAUAUAUUUUCGACAGAGCCUAGAUUGACCAACCAUAUAAUGUUUUGUUGGUCAUUUCUUUCGGGAGAGGAAUCUUGCUUUGAGGAUCUUAGGUUCAAGCUGAUCUAAGAAAUAAUCUACUGGCUAGUUUACUUCAGCUGAACGCACACGAUUGGAUCUCUUCGCUAUGAUGAGUCCAUGAGAUGAGAUGCAAUCCUCGCCAAGUAACUAUGAGCCAAAAUCCCUAUGAGCUUGCUUUCUGUUUCUUUUGCGGUACAUCAGGUUUUUUCACCUUUCUUUAUUUCUGUUCUUAUUUUUACGGGUUCAAGCUCUGCUGCAUCACUGUAACAGAUGCCUUUGUACACUCGACUAUAAAGCCUAG
rnacentral:lncRNA from 1 species